AUAAGGACUACUUUGUUCUUUUCAAGAGUUGCUUGGUACUCUUUCCUAUGGCUGGUUCACUAUUUUUAUCUUUUGCUGUGAGCCAGCGCAGUGCUGUUAUUGCGUGGAGGAUAUUGGUUGGGUAAACGUCCAGAAGAGGACCUGCUGUAGUCCCUCCUUAUCCACAGUUUCCCUUUCCAUGGGUUCAGUUACUCGUGGUCAACCACCGUCUGGAAGCAGGUGAUCUUGACAAUACAUCAGAAGGUCACUAGCGGCUUAGCGCUAUGUUGCAACGCCUAUGACGUUCAUGUAUCUCAUCUUAUCAUGUAGGGAUUUUAUCAUCUCACAUCAUCACGAGAAGAAGGGAAAUAUGGAGGACAGAGGAACAUGUUAAAAUGGCACCAUGAGGGAACACCUGCAAAGUUGAUUUUGCAUAUUCCCCAGAACAAACAACCUGUGCCGGGCAGAACAACGGCUCCAGAAUAUUUCUACAUCCAAAUCUCUGGAACUCGUGAAUAUAGUAAGUAACCUGGCAAGAGAGAAUAAGAGAGCAGGUGAGAUUAAGGUUGCUAAGCAGUUGACCUUGAGAUGGGGGAGAUUCUCCUGGGUUACCUGGGUGGGUUCAGUGUCAUAAGUGAAAGAGAGAGGGAGAGUCCAUUUCAGUGAUGUGAUGUAUGAAAGAGUUGACAGGCCAUCGCUGGCUCUGAAGAUGAGCAAGAAGGUCGUGAGCCAAGUGACCGCCAUGAGCUUGGAAAAGGCAAGCAAACAGAUUCUCCCCUAGACCCUCCAGAAGGAGCACAUCCCUGGGAACAAUCUUGAUCUUAACCCAUUGAGACCCGAGCCAGAUAUCUGGUCUCUGAACUGUAAACUACUGCAUUUGUGUUGUUUUAAGGCAAUAUUUGUGGUCAUUUGUUUACAGCAAAUGACUUAUGUACUUCAACAACAAAAAAAGCAUGUUCGGAAUGGAGACUGUAGGGGCGCCUGGGUGGCUCAGUCAGGAUCCCAGGGUCCUGGGAUUGAGCCCCACAUUGGGCUCCCUGCUCAGUGGGAGUCUGCUUCUCCCUCUGUUUCUGUUCCUCUCCCUGGCUCAUGUGCGCUCUCUCUCUCUCUCUUGCUCUCGCUCAUAAAUAAAUAAAUAAAUAAAUAAAUAAAUAAAUAAAUAAAUAAAAUCUUUUUUAAAAAAUGGAGACUGUAGCUAGCACAGUGCCUCCCCAUGACGGUGGCCCUGGAGAUCAGCCGUAAGCAUAUCAAUGACUUCCUGUGUCCUGCCUCUGCUUGAGGGUCCCCUCUGGCUGCUGAAAUGUGCUGGUCCUGCCUCGAAGGAACUCAUACAAGCACAGAGGGUAACCCAGAGAUUGAGAGAGAUUUAAGAGACACAUCAGCCUAUCACAGUCUAUGCCUUGAAUUACCUGGACCUUAUCUGGAUCCUGAUUCAAACACGUUUAAAAGUCCUGAAAACAAAACAAAAGAAAAAGCAAAACCCCAACAAUGCCAUGAAUGACAUAUAUGAGAUAAGCAGAAAUCUGAACACCAGGUUGGACAUUUGAAAAUAUUAAGAAAUUAUUGUUAAGUUGUUAAAUUUGAGGAUGUGAUAAUGGUGCUUUGGCUAUAUUAAAGUAAGAAGUUCUUACCAUUUAAAGAUAAGUUUUGGAAUAAUUAUGAGUGAAUUGAUAGUGGGUCUGACAUUUGGGAUUUGCUUCAAGAUAAUGCAAGAGAUGAAGAAAAGAGAAGGUGUGUGUAUGUGGAGCAGGAAUAGCUCUGAGCCGAUAACCACUGAAGCUAGGAGAUGCACAGAGGGGGCUCCUUUUACUACUUCCCUGACUUUGCCUACUUUGAUAGAUGCUAGAAAUUUCCAGAAUUACAAAAUGCCCACUCAAAUUAGGUUAGAGUUAAUUGUUGAGCAAUUGUGACUAAAGGCAUGGGCUUUGGGAUCACAUCAGCCUGGGAGAGUCUGACCCUCACUGAUUCAGAUGGCCGAUUCUAUGUGGGGCUAAGACAAGGGAGGUGGGGUGGAGAGAGAAAUUGGGAGGGAGGUAAUACAGGCAAAGAAAGUGCUUCAUGAGUAAAGACACAGAAGUGACA